UUUUUUUUAUUUUGUAUUCAAUUUAGUGUUGUUUAAACCUAAAUGUUUGUUGGGUAGUUAUUUAACCGACGAACAGCUUUAGCGAAAAUUCGCACAUCAAGCAUUCAGUUAGUAUCCAUUACUUCAGCCAACCGCACAGUGCGCCCGCCUUUGUGUGUGUAUCGUCGUACUUGUGUCAGUUGGUUUGUCCAAAUGACAAUCAACGUGUAAUGACAAUUUUCAGUCAUUUUAUUUGAUUAUGGCAAAAAAAAAAAAAAAUAGCACAAUCCGACAAACGUUAAUUCAAUCUGCCAGGCGGCGAGCUCGAGUCUCAACUCAACUAGUCAAGUCAUUUCGUGGCAGCGUCGGCGCAUAUCAAAGCGUUUUUGCGCACUUCAUCGUGCAAAAUUCAUUGAUGCUGUGUUGUGGCUGGCCAACCAGCUAGACAGGCCGUGAUGCGAACGCUCAAGUGUACACGCUGUUAGCUGUGACAGCGCGCCGAUUAGAUAUGUACGCGCGGUACUUUUGUGCAUUUCGCAGCUAUCUCACGCUGACACUGAGCCAAGAAAACUUAGCUAACUGACAGUUCUUCCGGCCGACAGCACAAGUAGUCGCAAGCAUGCUGUGUGUGUCCGUGUGUGUGUGUGCUUGAGUGUGUUGAAAAACUUUAUAGCGGCAAUUUUUAAUUCGAUUCAGCGUCAAGUGGCGAUUUGUGAUUUGCAAUAUUCAAUUUGCAAUUAGCAUUUUAAUAUAAUUUUGCAAUUAAAAAACGUUAGUUGAGCACUUUUUUACUAUUGCAUUGAGUUGAGUGAGUGGCUUCCACCUGUCAGGAGGUGAAUUUGCGUCGUUGUCAUUUCCAUGGCGGCGAAAUGUGCUUUGUCGUUGAGGUGGUUUUUGUUUUUUGUUGCUCGUUGCCAACUAAUGAGAGCGUAAUUUAGCGCGACAGUAGUUGGGAAUUCAUAAAUAGCUGAAAUGGCAUUGCGGCUCAUUAUAGAGAAACGUAUUGAUUAUUGAUUGAAAUUAAACGAGAAAUCAAAGAUAAUGUCAUUAAUGAAAUCGGCUAAAAUACAAUAUCAUCAUUCGAGAUCAACGGUGGAAAACUUGUUGGUGAAUAUGCGCAACGAACUAAGCAAUCAGCAAAAUCAACUGCCAAAGCCAGUAUGCAUAUAAACACAUCUAGCUUAAGUCUAGCUUAAAUUUACGAGCAAUUAAAUAUACGCAGCGACAAAGCAGUAGUCAAUAAAAAUCUCAUAAACACAAUAAUUUGAACCAAAAAAAUCAAAUCGAAAUGGAAUAUCAAAGCGGCGGUGGCGGCAUCAACUUUGCAGCUUUACGUUUUCGGUUUUGCGUUUCUCAAAAUGGUCGUUUAUCAAUUUUGUUUUCGGCUUUUUUGUUGUUGUUGUUGUUGUAAUAAGUUUGCGGCAAUUUGCAUAAUUAAAACGAUUUCAAAAGUAUGAUGAA
rnacentral:lncRNA from 1 species